rnacentral:ncRNA from 1 species
AAUGGAAUAAUGUAGGUAAGGGAAGUCGACAAAAUAGAUCUGUAACCUUGAGAAAAAGAUUGGCUCUGAGAGCUAGGCAUGGGGGUCCCAAUCCCAAACCUGUCGACUGCUGGUGUCCUACUCGAGCUGCUCCUGCGAUAGAGCGGGUUGUCGUGUGUCGCCCAGGGGACGGACUGAGAACGGCUCCCUCGGGGGCCUUCUUUGGGUGACUAACAUUCGACUUAGAAUUGAUACGGACAAGGGGAAUCUGACUAUUUAAUUAAAACAAAACAUUGCGAUGGUACCUAUGGAUGCUCACGCAAUGUGAUUUUUGCCUAGCGCUCUGAAUGUCAAAGUGAAAAAAUUCAACCAAGCGCAGGUAAACAACGAGAGUAACUAUGACUCUCUUAAGGUAGCUAAAUACCUUGUCAUCUAACUAGUGACACAUCUGAAUGGGUUAAAAGGAUUUUCAUUGUCCCUGUCUACUAUCUAGUGAAAGCACAACCAAGGGAACGAGCUUGGCAGAAUCAGCAGGGAAAGAAAACCCUGUUUAGCUUGAAUCUAGUCCGACUUUGUGAAAUGACUUGAGAGCUGCAGGAUAAGUGAGAGAUCUCAGGAGAAAUUAAAAUACCACUACUUUUAACAUUAUUUUAAUUAUUUCGUGAAUCGGAGGUGGGGCACAACCCCUCUUUUUAGACCCAAGGUCGGCUUCGGCUGACCGACCCAAGCGAAAGACAUUUUCAGGUAAGGAGUUUGGUUGGGGCGACACAUUUGUUAAAAGAUAACACAUGUGUCCUAAAAUGAGCUCAACGAUAACAGAAAUCUCUUGUAGAACAAAAAGGUAAAAGCUCGUUUGAUUCUGAUUUCUAGUACGAAUACGAACCGUAAAAGCGUAGCCUAUCGAUCCUUUAUACCUUCGAAAUUUGAAGCUAGAAGCGUCAGAAAAGUUGCUACAGGGAUAACUGGCUUGUGGCAGCCAAGCGUUCAUAAAGAUGUUGCUUUUUUAUCCUUCGAUGUCAACUCUUCCUAUCAUUGUGAACUAGAACUCACCAAGUGUUGGAUUGUUCACACACUAAUAGGAAACGUGACCUGGGUUUAGACCAUCGUAAGAUAGGUUAGUUUUACCCUAUUGAUGGUCGCGUCGUAAUAGUAAUUCAACCUAGUACGAGAAGAACCGUUGAUUCACACAAUUGGUCAUCGUGCUUGGUUGAAAACCAGUGGCACGAAGCUACCGUGCACUGGAUUUUGAUUGAAUGCCUCUAAGUAAGAACCUAGGCUAGAAGCAAUGCACGCACUCAUCGCCUGAUUGUUGACCCGUAGUAGGGGCCAUUGGCCCCCAAGGGCACGUGUCAUAGGUGCAUCGACUGUGGCCAACAAGUCGCGAGCGCCUCCUUAGAGUGUAAUUCCAACUGAGCAGUGGGUAGAAUCUUUUGAAGAUUACUUAAAUACGUGACGGGGUAUUGUAAGUGGGAGAGUAGCCUUGUUGCCAAGAUCCACUAAGAUUCAGCCCUUUUAUUGCACCAAUUC